CUCCGGUGAAUCCUGCGGGACCCGACUGCUAUCAGAGUGGGACUAAGCCAUGCGAGUCGACGUAGCAAUGCGUGGCGAACGGCUCAGUAACACGUAGUCAACAUGCCCAGGGGACGUGGAUAACCUCGGGAAACUGAGAAUAAACCACGAUAGGUCACGAUUUCUGGAAUGGAUCAUGGCCUAAAUCUACAUGGCCCCUGGAUUGGACUGCGGCCGAUCAGGCUGUUGGUGAGGUAAUGGCCCACCAAACCUAUAACCGGUACGGGCUCUGAGAGGAGAAGCCCGGAGAUGGGCACUGAGACAAGGGCCCAGGCCCUAUGGGGCGCAGCAGGCGCGAAACCUCUGCAAUAGGCGAAAGCCUGACAGGGUUACUCUGAGUGAUUUCCGCUAAGGGGAUCUUUUGGCACCUCUAAAAAUGGUGCAGAAUAAGGGGUGGGCAAGUCUGGUGUCAGCCGCCGCGGUAAUACCAGCACCCCGAGUGGUCGGGACGAUUAUUGGGCCUAAAGCAUCCGUAGCCGGUUCUGCAAGUCUUCCGUUAAAUCCAGCCGCUCAACGGAUGGGCCGCGGAGGAUACUACAGGACUAGGAGGCGGGAGAGGCAAGCGGUACUCAGUGGGUAGGGGUAAAAUCCUUUGAUCCAUUGAAGACCACCAGUGGCGAAGGCGGCUUGCCAGAACGCGCUCGACGGUGAGGGAUGAAAGCUGGGGGAGCAAACCGGAUUAGAUACCCGGGUAGUCCCAGCUGUAAACGAUGCAAACUCGGUGAUGCAUUGGCUUAUGGCCAAUGCAGUGCCGCAGGGAAGCCGUUAAGUUUGCCGCCUGGGAAGUACGGACGCAAGUCUGAAACUUAAAGGAAUUGGCGGGGGAGCA
rnacentral:rRNA from 1 species